GCCUGGGUGGCUCAGUGGUUGAGCACCUGUCUUUGGCUCAUGUUGUGAUCCCAGGGUCCUGGGAUCAAGUCCCACAUCAGGCU
rnacentral:tRNA from 1 species